rnacentral:lncRNA from 1 species
CAAUUAUAUCCCUUGCAAGGCACCAUCUGCAAGAGCUGAGAAUGACUAAGGCAGGGAAACUAAUGUUUGCUGAAAUAUAAUUAUUUCAAUAAGAAAGGUCCAGAAAGUUGAUCCCCAUAAGAAGAAACGCCAUGGCGAGCCAAAAUAGGACCACCCGCCGCUAGGCUAUGUAAUUCCAGUUUCUGAAGAGCCAGCAGCAUAUCAAAAUCAGAGUUGUUGGGAGAAUAAUUGAAUUGUGCAGAAGAACAAAUUGAGCAGAGAGUGAUCAUGCAAACGCAGGUCAGCAAGAAGACGAGUGGCUCCCGUUAGGCACUGUAAUCCCAAUUUCUGGACAGCCAGCAAAAUAUCCAAAUCAGAAUUUGUACCGUACAGUGCAAACCAAGAAACUAAAUUAGGAGGGAUUGACAUAUUAUCCAAACGCAGAUCGUGUAUUCCAUCCUAUAUAGCUUGAUAAGAGAUAGAAAGCUUGAUCAUCCGAGAAAAUCUGACCAUAUCAGAAUAACCGUUGGACUGUAACCAAUCAAUCAGAAUAACCAUGAACAGAAGUGAAACCUCGCCCCUUCAUCUAUAUCGUCUGACCAGAACUAGCGCCCGCUCAAUUGGUUCUGCAUCUAGGACGAGAGCAGAGCACAUACAGCAAAAGCUAGAUCAGCCGGCACAGCAAGAAUCCACGAGGGUCUCGAAUUCACCUCGUAUUAACAUCACGACGAGGGCGCUCGAUCGGGGACAUGGAACCGGAAGGCCCUUCAAUUCAAUUCAAAUCUGAAACCACCGACGAGACGAGCGCAGGCAGGUGACGGGACCAAGGAACCGAUCGGACCGAGCACGAGAAACUGACCUUGCUCCGGCCCUGGGGUCGCCCGAAACCAAAUCAGCCGCAGAAGCAAAACCGAACGGCUCGACGGAAUCCCCGGUCGAUCGCUCCCCGGAGGCGGACGAGACGGGCCGAAUUCCCUGCGAGCACAGGGAGCAGAGGCGACGAGGGAUUCGAAACGAAUCGAGACGACGAGAGAAAGGAAAGGGAACAAUCGCGGAGACGCGAUGAGGCGACUUGGGCGAGAGCAGAGGCGCGGCCCGAACGAAAGCUCAAAGGAGGCCAGAGCGCGGGGAGGAGAGGGCGCACCUGGGGCGCCUUUUGUAGCCGGGGCAGAGGCGGUGGGGGAGGCCUGGCGGCUGGCGCCAACCGAUUCCUUUCCUUACCGGACACGGCUUCGC